GUUAAAAUGCUAUAAUUCAUGGUGGUGACAACGUGGAAAUUUGUGUCAGGUCUGAAAGUACUUCACAAGGGACUGGUGAUCGCGAGGGUCAAAAUGCAGGACAGGACGAGUCGGCGAGGCGAGGGUAAUUAAUUAAUUAGUUUCCAAUUAGGAGCAUAACAACGCAAAGCCAACGGGUACGUAGUUUUUAUUCCUCUUUCCAGAUCUUCUCAAAAACACAGAGCCAGUGGCUUUGACAAGCAAUGGCUCAAUCAAUUUACCUGGCUCAGGCAUACUGAGGAAGGCAUGCACUGUUAUUUAUGCCAAAAGCACUGUGCCCCAACACAGCAGGCAAUUGCUGCCUCCUUAGUGAGACAGCCAUCAACCAACUACAGGCUGGACACAUUAAAAAGACAUGAGGUGACAGCCAUUCACAAAGCAGCAGAAGAGAAGGAGAAGUAUAUUAAAGAUGGUAGUACCUAAAAACACUCAACUAAUAAAGUUACAAAAACUAAAAUAACAUAGUUUAGAUAGUUUAAGAAAUAAUUGGUUGUCGUUUUUUUUAGGGAGGACACUGCAGUGUAUACAUAUAUAUAAUAUAUGAUUGAAAACACUAUCACUCUUCAUGUCUGUAUCAGAAUAAAAACAAAAAUACUUAAUGUAUGAUGAAUUGUUUUGUUUAAGGUGAAGACACCUCUGCGGAACAGACUGAAGGAGAGGCACUUGGAUGUCUGUUGUAAGGUGGCCGUUGAUGGACCAGACCAGGAGGCCUUGGACUACAAGGAGUGCAUGAGGAGGUUCUACAGAAUGAAAAAGAGGAGGC
rnacentral:lncRNA from 1 species